GUUUGAUCCUGGCUCAGAAUCAACGCUGGCGGCGCGCUUAACACAUGCAAGUCGAACGAGAAAGUCCGCAAGGAUGAGUACAGUGGCGUACGGGUGAGUAACACGUGGAUCAUCUACCUCUUAGUGAGGAAUAACCCUGGGAAACCGGGGCUAAUACCGCAUAAGCCUGGAAAGGGAAAGUCGAAAGACGCUGAGAGAGGAGUCCGCGGCCGAUUAGCUAGUUGGCAGGGUAACAGCCUACCAAGGCUUUGAUCGGUAGCCGGCCUGAGAGGGCACACGGCCACACUGGCACUGAAACACGGGCCAGACUCCUACGGGAGGCAGCAGUGGGGAAUCUUGCACAAUGGGGGCAACCCUGAUGCAGCGACGCCGCGUGAGCGAUGAAGCCCUUCGGGGUGUAAA
rnacentral:rRNA from 1 species